rnacentral:rRNA from 1 species
UAGGGAAUCUUCGGCAAUGGACGAAAGUCUGACCGAGCAACGCCGCGUGAGUGAAGAAGGUUUUCGGAUCGUAAAACUCUGUUGGUAGAGAAGAACGUUGGUGAGAGUAGAAAGCUCAUCAAGUGACGGUAACUACCCAGAAAGGGACGGCUAACUACGUGCCAGCAGCCGCGGUAAUACGUAGGUCCCGAGCGUUGUCCGGAUUUAUUGGGCGUAAAGCGAGCGCAGGUGGGUUAUUAAGUCUGGUGUAAAAGGCAGUGGCUCAACCAUUGUAUGCAUUGGAAACUUGUAGACUUGAGUGCAGGAGAGGAGAGUGGAAUUCCAUGUGUAGCGGUGAAAUGCGUAGAUAUAUGGAGGAACACCGGUGGCGAAAGCGGCUCUCUGGCCUGUAACUGACACUGAGGCUCGAAAGCGUGGGGAGCAAACA